rnacentral:lncRNA from 1 species
AUUGCCACCAGAAAGCCACCCUUCAGGGCCUGUAAUUCUGAUCUCCGUGCCCUCUGAGGACUCUGCUGCUUUCUCAGGGAGGCCCCAGCACAGUCUGACUAUCUUUUGGACCAUGCGCCCUUAGCGAGCAAGAAGAGGAAGCAGUAAUAAGAUUCCAGCAGGAGAUGGGUCCUGAGCCCAUGGCCAAGCCUCCCAUUGGGCCCGGAAGACAGAAGCCACAGUAAUCCAUUACUGACAAGGCUACUUAGUGAUGAUGUAGCGCCUUCUUGUCUCGGAGACCUCCAGAAACCCAGCACUGCCACCUGAGACCCUGCGUGGUACACAGGGCUUCCUGUUUCGGGUUCUUGCAUAUCAGCACUUACAUAUGUGAUUGUCAUCUUCAAAGAGGAAACCCUGGCAGGCCCUGUCCACAAGCAACGUCCCUGUUUUUGGGAGUUUCCUUCAUUCUCGUGAGGAGAGUCGCUAACAGUGAGUUACUGCCACUUGCCAGGUGGGUUUGACGAGUGGUCGAGGGCAUGGUUAGGAUUCUGUUGUC